rnacentral:lncRNA from 1 species
CCUUUAUGAUGUAUUGGGAUGUUGUAAUUGCAUUCUGUCGCUACACAGGUGUCUGAUAAAGGAUUUUGAGACUCGUCCGUCUGUGACCCGCAUUCUGGAACACCCAUUCAUUAAACAGGCCCAUGGCAAAGGCUCUCGGUCAACAGCUGUCCACACUCAUCUGCGAGCAGCAAGACCUGGGCUCCAAACUUAAGACCAAACAUAAAAUAAUCAACACUCCUAAACAGUCAUAAUAGAGAGCAGUCCUGAUGAUGAUCUGGUGAACCUGGAGGUUUUAGAUGAGGAGACCCUCAUCAAACACCUCUCGAAAAUAUAUUACGAGCUUCAGAUAUACACGUACGUUGGAGACAUCCUUAUCGCUGUCAAUCCUUUUCAAACUCAAAG